rnacentral:rRNA from 1 species
UACGGAGGGUGCAAGCGUUAAUCGGAAUUACUGGGCGUAAAGGGUGCGUAGGUUGUUUGAUAAGUUAGUUGAGAAAUACCUGGGCUUAACCUAGGUGCUAUGAUUAAGACUGUUAAACUAGAGUAUGAGAGAGGGUAGUGGAAUUUCCGGUGUAGCGGUGAAAUGCGUAGAGAUCGGAAGGAACACCAGUGGCGAAGGCGGCUACCUGGCUUAAUACUGACACUGAGGCACGAAAGCGUGGGUAGCAAACAGG